UCAACUUGGUCAUCUUGUGUUUAAAGUCACCAUCAGCAGGUAUUAUGUAAAGUGGAAGGUUCAGUUGGAAACUAAACCAUUUGAGGUCAAAAACUAGAUCACAGAAAAACCUUGGUUACACUCUAGUUAUAUUACCUUUAAAUGUGAAUCAUGGUCAGGCAAUCUAGCACUAUUGUGACCCACUUAGUUUUUGUAAGCAAUUUUGGUGUAAGUUUAGGUUUAAAUAACUUUAAACUUGAUGUUGCAUUUAGUUAUGGUUAGGGUAAGGACUUUUUUUUUUACUUUUUUAAGACGGUAGGAGUGAGCUUUUUUCCUUCUGUUUUAUUUUUCUGCCAAUCUUCCAGACUGCUGAGGAGGAGAUGCUGUUUCAAAAGAUUGGCAGGGUUAUUUUGUUACAGCUGACAAGGCCUGACAGAUCCCUUUACUAUUGAUCGAAACAUGCUAUCGACUGCCAUCGAGGAUAAUCCGGUGCCUAUAUAUCCGCAAGAUGCAGUGUAGGAGUAACUGGUUCUACAAUUCUGUACCGGCAGGUUUAGAUGAAGGUUAUUCAUGUGUUUUGAGAGGUGGGAAUCAGGGAUUGUGAGGAUUUUAAUUUCUUUCAGGUACAUAGCCUGCCAAUGACAACUGACUCUAUGUCCCGUCCAUACAUACAGUCGGCAGGACUUUCUUUCAGCGUCAAGACCUGCCUAGGACAACCUUUAUGAGGUGGGCAGGAUUUCUUCUUUUCCAGGUCCAAGGUCUGCCUAAGACAGCUAAACAUACAGAGGUGGCAGAAUAUUUCUUUUAGGUUUCAAGGCCUUGCAGAUCCCUUAACUGUUGAUCAAGACUGCUAUCGUGACUAUCGAGGACCCGGUGCCUAUAUGUCCGCAAGAUAAUCAGCGUGUGGGGGUGACUGAUCUGCAAUUCUGUGCCGGUGGGUUGCUAGAUGAUAGUUGUUCCUUUGUUGAGUGAGACGGAAAUCAGGGAUUGCAAGGAUUUCUUAUUUAUUUCAGGUUCAUACCCUGCCUCUGUCUUCUAAUGCAUGUUUUACUCGGACGGAACAUACAUUGGGCAGGUUUUGUAUUUCUUUCAGGUUCAAGGCCUGCCAGGACUGGGCAGGAUUUUCUCUCUUUCAGAUUUCUAUGAAUGUCUGCCUUCCUCUACCAGGACAGGCCAGUCUGUCAGAAUUGUUUUCAUGUAGCUCACUUCUGCAAUAUUGAAUUCUUUCCUUAUUUAAGCAAACUUUCUUAACAUAAAAUAAUUUUUGCAUUUUUUUUUUCCUGUUUUGGCUUAUUUAAUUUCAGGCUUGAGGGCAGAGACUUUCAUUAUUUCUGUGCAUGGAAACUGAAAUGAUGACGGUCCUUGUAUAGAGAUCCAGACACUUCGUUCCCAAGGUGAUGUGAAAUGGUGCGAAGUGUUGUGUAUGUCUUCUGCCUUCACUCUACUAGACCACUACUGCAUGGAUCUUCAGUAUCUUCAGUUAGAACUGUGAUGACACUGAGGAAAUAUUCUACAAUCUUCACCAUGGUUAUGGUUGAAUUGUAAUUACAACAUAGCAAUUGCUGUGCUGUGUGAAGUCAGCAUGUAUGUGUUUCUAAGAAAGUGACAAGGUGUGUCACGGUGGAAGCUGUGCAUCUGGAUAGGAUGAGAGUGGUUGUAUUCCAAUGGCUGUAAGCAUGAAAUCACCUGGCCUUGUGUGGAAGACCAACCAGAUGUAUACCUCUAAUUUAAACUCCUGAAAAUCCCCAUGGUUGUGGGUUGUGCAGACAGAAUGUGAGCAAGGAAGUACCUCUGUAAAAGCCCAGGCGUUCCAUAUGUAGGAGUACCUUCAUUCUUCAAAUCUGUACAAGAGAUCUAUGUGAGGAUGAAAGCCAAGAUAAUACAACGAUUCAACUUAUAUCAAUCCAACUGAAGGACAAAUAUCCAUUGAUGCAGGUGAGUUAAGAAGAAAAUUACCUGUUUUAGCUCACUGACAAAAUUGUCCCAGGAGCUAAAGCUAUUCAUGUGGAGUCAGCUUCAUGUUUAGACUGUGAACAACUCAUUGCAAGCUCAUGUCUCAUUUAUUACUCUUCACAAAGGAAUGAAAGCUGAAAGUCCUCCACCUCUGAUAUAUGUGGGGAAGUUGGCAGUUACUUGCAGAGAAAAGGUUUAUACUGGUACAGAAUCUAGGAACGCUGGUUAAAUUAACUGCCAACCAUUAUAUAACUGAAAUACUGUAACAGUUAAAAAAUGGCAUUAAACCCAAAAAAAACAAACAAAACACAAUCUUAAAUAAAAUAAAUAAAGUUUGCUAGUUUCUGCUAUGAAGCUAAAGGGUUUAAUGUAUGGAAAUGCUGGUAUACAUGUGUCUGUACCUCAAAAAAUCAGUCCACCCACUUCAAUAGCUCAGUAGGGAAAUUGCAGAUCUACAGAUUGCGGGGUUUGUCAGUU